GCUUCUUGAGCACAAGGGCCGGAGAAAUUAUUCAUCUCUUGAUGAGGGUCUUCUAGUUCGCAUUAAAUGAUCAAUAAUUUAGACGUGCAUAAAGUCGGAUAUUUUUUUUGUGAAAUUGGUAGGGUGUAAGACUAUUUUUUUAGACAAAAUUACAAAAAUCGUCCCUGUGAUAUUCAAUUUUUUUGGGGUUUAUUUUUUUUGGCUUCAUAGUUCUUUUGAAUUAGCUUCGUUGCAUUUUUUAUUUAUUUUUCAUUUUUCUUUCAUUCUCUCUCUCUCCCCGAAGCACCCUCCCAGUUCAUCUUCUGCAACCUAUUCUUCUUUACUAGUUUACCCUCAUCUCUUUUUUUUUCUCUCCAUCGCAAUGGUUGUGUUCUUCCUAGAAUUAAAAACUGGAAAAUGUUUGAAAAUUGAAUUCCAUCACAUAGGUGAUUAACAAUCAUUUUAUAUCGCCUUAAAUUAGUGGAUCUUCUUCUCUAUCAUCACCAGAGCAUACUCUGAUUCUGAUUUAGCUUCCUCAAUUUAAUGGAGCUUCUUGGUAAGGAUUUGUUUUCUUCAACAUCUAGCCGAAUCUGAUUUAAGGUUUCAAAACCCAAGGCUGUUUUAUUCAACAUCUAGCCGACUCUGAUUUAGGGUUUUAGAACCCAAGGCGGUGGCUCUGGUGUGUGAUUAAGCUCUCCAGAACCACAAUAAUAGGAUUGUUUCUGGGUAUUGUGUAGUUGCUGCCCUUCUAGUGAUGCCAAUAUUACAAUCGGUAGUUUUUGGGCCAGAGCAUAAGAUUUCCAUCACAUGUGUCACCAAGAACAAAGAGCUGAUUGCAAACUCAGUGGCCAAUUUGGGAAGAUCGCCAUUAACAUAUCUUGACUAGCAAGCUUACGACAAAGACGAAGCUCAGGUUAGAGACCGGCCAUGGAAACGCCUUCAAGAAAGCAUCGAUGUAAGCUACUAUAACAAUGGCUAAUUUAGGCUUUUUAUGGUUUUUCUAUUUCACGAAACAAUAGCAGUUUUUCCUGGUGGGUUCAUUGUCUUGAGUUGCAAGUCCAUGGUAUUGAAUCGAGAUUUGCAGGUUUGAUACAUCAGUAAUUCGAUUGAUUUCUCAUUUAUUUCAUCACCGUCAAUUGAAUUUAUUACUUGAUUUCAACACCUAAUUUGUCUCAUUUAUUACUUGAUUUCAACACCUAAUUUGUAUCAUAAUUUCAGUUUCUGCAAAGCUUUGUAUAGGAUCUAAGAUUUUUGAGGUUUUCGAGCUCGGAUUCGGUUCACAAGUAAUUCGGUUUCUGCAAGCUUGUUGUCCUUCAUCAUCUACAACGAAUUGAGGGAACAAAGGAUGCAGACGGCUCUAGUUUGUCCUCAUCUUCAUCUUUAUUGAGUUGUGUAUGUUUGUAUGUGUUUGUAUGUGUGUGUGAUCUGCGUAUGUAUAUGUGUUAUAUUCUAACUUUUUAGUAGAGUUUAGAGAGAUAAAAAAGGAAAUAGGAAGAAGAUGAAGUAAAAAGUGUGCACAUGAGAGAGAGAGAUAUGUGGGCCUAAAUUAUUUAUUUAUUUUCUUUUUCAUUUAAAUUAAAUAGAAAAAUAUAAAAAAAAAUAUAUCAGAAGGGCAUUAUAGUCAUUUUAAUUUUACAAGGGACCAAAUUUACGUAUAAACAUGGCCAAAAGGACCACGAAUCCAAAAAAUUCGGGGUUUGGACUAAAACCCCAAAAAAAUACAUACCACAGAGACCAUUUUUGCAGUUUUGUCAUUUUUUUAUGACACGAAAUUGGUAGGGUGUAAGACUAUUUUUUUUUGUUAUACAUACCACGAAUGAAAUCGUGGUCUCGUUGGCCACGAGCACGGAUCGUGCACACCACCCCGACGUUCCGUGGUCAGGCUUCUUCGUGUUCCCGACGAUGAAUUCAAACGAGAAAUUUGAUUGGUUGUUUGGUUUUUUGGCCGUUGAACGACAAUUUUGGCUGUUUUUUUUUCAAACUCAAUUUACUAAUUAUAAAUAAAACUUCUAUUAUACCAAAAUUUACACCUCAUUCUAUUCUCUAAAACCACAAAACACAUACACAUAGAUUCCACAAUACAUAUGGAAUUUUUAAAAAGUGUUGACUCGGAUGACGACAUAGAUUUUGUCGAGACAUUCUUCAAUGUUGUGUAACACAUUCACGACGAAGAAAGUUCGAAUGUAGCUCGUACAAUGGCGGUCGUCAAUUGUGAUCAUCAAGCCGCACACGAC
rnacentral:lncRNA from 1 species